rnacentral:rRNA from 1 species
GGGAGCUUGCUCCCAGGCGUCGAGCGGCGGACGGGUGAGUAACACUUAGGAAUCUACCUAGUAGUGGGGGAUAGCUCGGGGAAACUCGAAUUAAUACCGCAUACGACCUACGGGAGAAAGGGGGCAGUUUACUGCUCUCGCUAUUAGAUGAGCCUAAGUCGGAUUAGCUAGAUGGUGGGGUAAAGGCCUACCAUGGCGACGAUCUGUAGCUGGUCUGAGAGGAUGAUCAGCCACACCGGGACUGAGACACGGCCCGGACUCCUACGGGAGGCAGCAGUGGGGAAUAUUGGACAAUGGGGGAAACCCUGAUCCAGCCAUGCCGCGUGUGUGAAGAAGGCCUUUUGGUUGUAAAGCACUUUAAGCAGUGAAGAAGACCUAACGGUUAAUACCCGUUAGCGAUGACAUUAGCUGCAGAAUAAGCACCGGCUAACUCUGUGCCAGCAGCCGCGGUAAUACAGAGGGUGCAAGCGUUAAUCGGAAUUACUGGGCGUAAAGCGAGCGUAGGUGGCUUGAUAAGUCAGAUGUGAAAUCCCCGGGCUUAACCUGGGAACUGCAUCUGAUACUGUUAAGCUAGAGUAGGUGAGAGGGAAGUAGAAUUCCAGGUGUAGCGGUGAAAUGCGUAGAGAUCUGGAGGAAUACCGAUGGCGAAGGCAGCUUCCUGGCAUCAUACUGACACUGAGGCUCGAAAGCGUGGGUAGCAAACAGGAUUAGAUACCCUGGUAGUCCACGCCGUAAACGAUGUCUACUAGUCGUUGGGUCCCUUGAGGACUUAGUGACGCAGCUAACGCAAUAAGUAGACCGCCUGGGGAGUACGGCCGCAAGGUUAAAACUCAAAUGAAUUGACGGGGGCCCG